UACGAAGGGGGCUAGCGUUGCUCGGAAUCACUGGGCGUAAAGCGCACGUAGGCGGAUCGUUAAGUCGGGGGUGAAAUCCUGGAGCUCAACUCCAGAACUGCCUUCGAUACUGGCGAUCUUGGAGUCCGGGAGAGGUGAGUGGAACUCCGAGUGUAGAGGUGAAAUUCGUAGAUAUUCGGAAGAACACCAGUGGCGAAGGCGGCUCACUGGACCGGUACUGACGCUGAGGCGCGAAAGCGUGGGGAGCAAACAGGG
rnacentral:rRNA from 1 species